rnacentral:rRNA from 1 species
AGAGUUUGAUCAUGGCUCAGGACGAACGCUGGCGGCGUGCUUAACACAUGCAAGUCGAACGGAAAGGCCCUUCGGGGUACUCGAGUGGCGAACGGGUGAGUAACACGUGGGUGAUCUGCCCUGCACUUUGGGAUAAGCCUGGGAAACUGGGUCUAAUACCGAAUAUGACCAUGCGCCUCCUGGUGUGUGGUGGAAAGCUUUUGCGGUGUGGGAUGGGCCCGCGGCCUAUCAGCUUGUUGGUGGGGUAAUGGCCUACCAAGGCGACGACGGGUAGCCGGCCUGAGAGGGUGACCGGCCACACUGGGACUGAGAUACGGCCCAGACUCCUACGGGAGGCAGCAGUGAGGAAUAUUGCACAAUGGGCGCAAGCCUGAUGCAGCGACGCCGCGUGAGGGAUGACGGCCUUCGGGUUGUAAACCUCUUUCAGCACAGACGAAGUGCAAGUGACGGUAUGUGCAGAAGAAGGACCGGCCAACUACGUGCCAGCAGCCGCGGUAAUACGUAGGGUCCGAGCGUUGUCCGGAAUUACUGGGCGUAAAGAGCUCGUAGGUGGUUUGUCGCGUUGUUCGUGAAAACUCACAGCUUAACUGUGGGCGUGCGGGCGAUACGGGCAGACUUGAGUACUGCAGGGGAGACUGGAAUUCCUGGUGUAGCGGUGGAAUGCGCAGAUAUCAGGAGGAACACCGGUGGCGAAGGCGGGUCUCUGGGCAGUAACUGACGCUGAGGAGCGAAAGCGUGGGGAGCGAACAGGAUUAGAUACCCUGGUAGUCC